CGCAAGCCUGACGGAGCAACGCCGCGUGAGGGAGGAAGGCCUGUGGGUCGUAAACCUCUUUUCUCAAGGAAGAACACAAUGACGGUACUUGAGGAAUCAGCAUCGGCUAACUCCGUGCCAGCAGCCGCGGUAAGACGGAGGAUGCAAGCGUUAUCCGGAAUUAUUGGGCGUAAAGCGUCCGUAGGUGGUUAGGAAAGUCUGUUGUUAAAGCCCACAGCUCAACUGUGGAUCGGCAAUGGAAACUACUUAACUUGAGUGUGGUAGGGGUAGAGGGAAUUCCUAGUGUAGCGGUGAAAUGCGUAGAUAUUAGGAAGAACACCAGUGGCGAAGGCGCUCUACUGGGCCAUAACUGACACUGAUGGACGAAAGCUAGGGGAGCG
rnacentral:rRNA from 1 species